rnacentral:rRNA from 1 species
UACCAGCACCCCGAGUGGUCGGGACGAUUAUUGGGCCUAAAGCAUCCGUAGCCGGUCCUGCAAGUCUUCCGUUAAAUCCAGCUGCUCAACAGAUGGGCUGCGGAGGAUACUACAGGGCUAGGAGGCGGGAGAGGCAAGCGGUACUUUAUGGGUAGGGGUAAAAUCCGUUGAUCCAUAGAAGACCACCAGUGGCGAAGGCGGCUUGCCAGAACGCGCUCGACGGUGAGGGAUGAAAGCUGGGGGAGCAAGCCGG